AGCAGCCGCGGUAAUUCCAGCUCCAAUAGCGUAUAUUAAAGUUGUUGCAGUUAAAAAGCUCGUAGUUGAAUUUCGGGAUCAAAGGAUCGGUCAUGCCUUGGUAUGUACUGGUUUUAUUGGUUCUCACCUUCUAAAGAACCAUAAUGUCAUUCAUUUGAUGUUAUGGGGAAUUAGGACUGUUACCUUGAAAAAUUAGAGUGUUUAAAGCAGGCUUACGCUUGAAUACAUUAGCAUGGAAUAAUGAAAUAGGACGUUUGAUUCUAUUUUGUUGGUUUCUAGGAUCGACGUAAUGAUUAAUAGGGAUAGUUGGGGGCAUUAGUAUUCAAUUGUCAGAGGUGAAAUUCUUGGAUUUAUUGAAGACUAACUACUGCGAAAGCAUUUGCCAAGGAUGUUUUCAUUAAUCAAGAACGAAAGUUAGGGGAUCGAAGACGAUCAGAUACCGUCGUAGUCUUAACCAUAAACUAUGCCGACUAGGGAUCGG
rnacentral:rRNA from 1 species